UGGGGAAUUUUGGACAAUGGGCGAAAGCCUGAUCCAGCCAUGCCGCGUGCAGGAAGAAGGCCUUCGGGUUGUAAACUGCUUUAGUCUAGGAAAAAGGGAUGCUUGGUUAAUACCCAAGUGUUUUGAUGGUACUGGAAGAAUAAGCACCGGCUAACUACGUGCCAGCAGCCGCGGUAAUACGUAGGGUGCGAGCGUUAAUCGGAAUUACUGGGCGUAAAGCGUGCGCAGGCGGCGGUGUAAGACAGAUGUGAAAUCCCCGGGCUCAACCUGGGAACUGCAUUUGUGACUGCAUCGCUGGAGUGCGGCAGAGGGGGAUGGAAUUCCGCGUGUAGCAGUGAAAUGCGUAGAUAUGCGGAGGAACACCGAUGGCGAAGGCAAUCCCCUGGGCCUGCACUGACGCUCAUGCACGAAAGCGUGGGGAGCAAACAGGA
rnacentral:rRNA from 1 species